UUUUAAACCCAAACAGGUUACUUUGAACUCAGGAACAAGGUUAGAUUGUCACCUUUAUAUGCUCAGCUCCUAGCCUAGCUCCUGGCACAGAAGGUCUCAAAUAAGUGACGCAUUAGUAGGGUUCCGUUUAUAAACAGUCCUUUAGCGUACCAUGGGGAGAUAUGCUAAUUACAAGCCAGCGGUCUAGACACGGAAAGAAAUCCAGAAUUUACCGACACUGUGAGACUUUCUUUCUUUGACUCCUAUCUCUAUGGUUAGCAAGUGGCCAGUCUACACUCUGGAGGACUCAGCGAGCACGGCUGGUCAUUAGGCGACUUUACGGGCACGUGACCAGAAGUCGGACCUGCUAUUGGUUAAUGCCGGUAAACCCCGCCCAACCGCCUCCUGUCAGCUCCUUUAAGUAGACGUCGCAGGGACUCGCUCAGUCUUUCGGCGACUGUAAGGCUGGGAAGAUUCCUGCCGGGCCGAGGACGUAGGAUCACCUUCUCCUCUUCGACCUUUUCCCCGAACCCCUUCAAUAAAAUGGUUUGAUCCUAG